rnacentral:rRNA from 1 species
UGGUUAGCGGCGGACGGGUGAGUAACACGUGGGCAACCUGCCUGUAAGACUGGGAUAACUUCGGGAAACCGGAGCUAAUACCGGAUAAUCCUUUUCCUCUCAUGAGGAAAAGCUGAAAGUCGGUUUACGCUGACCCUUACAGAUGGGCCCGCGGCGCAUUAGCUAGUUGGUGAGGUAACGGCUCCCCAAGGCGACGAUGCGUAGCCGACCUGAGAGGGUGAUCGGCCACACUGGGACUGAAACACGGCCCAGACUCCUACGGGAGGCAGCAGUAGGGAAUCUUCCGCAAUGGACGAAAGUCUGACGGAGCAACGCCGCGUGAGCG